UACGUAGGGUGCGAGCGUUGUCCGGAAUUACUGGGCGUAAAGAGCUCGUAGGUGGUUUGUCGCGUUGUCCGUGAAAACUCACAACUCAAUUGUGGGCGUGCGGGCGAUACGGGCAGACUGGAGUACUGCAGGGGAGACUGGAAUUCCUGGUGUAGCGGUGAAAUGCGCAGAUAUCAGGAGGAACACCGAUGGCGAAGGCAGGUCUCUGGGCAUUAACUGACGCUGAGGAGCGAAAGCAUGGGGAGCGAA
rnacentral:rRNA from 1 species